AGCUUUGUGCAGUAGCAAUAUUGUAACCAGUGAGGUUUAUCUGAGGCAUGAUUAUUGCUAAUUGAAAACUUUUUCCCAAUUUUAUAUAUAUAUAUACAUGUACAUAUAUAUAUGGCAAAUAUAUUCUGAGGCAUUGACCUUAGU